UGGUCCUGCCUGCAAAGAGUUUGUCUCCCUU
rnacentral:piRNA from 1 species